UAAAGGAAGCGAUUCCGGCUACGGAUGGUCACGCGUCGCAUUAGCUUGUUGGCGGGGUAACGGCCCACCAAGGCGACGAUGCGUAGGGGUUCUGAGAGGAAGGUCCCCCACACUGGUACUGAGACACGGACCAGACUCCUACGGGAGGCAGCAGUGAGGAAUAUUGGUCAAUGGCCGCAGGGCUGAACCAGCCAAGUCGCGUGAGGGAUGACGGUCCUAUGGAUUGUAAACCUCUUUUGUCAGGGAGCAAAGGGCGCCACGUGUGGCGUUUUGCGAGUACCUGAAGAAAAAGCAUCGGCUAACUCCGUGCCAGCAGCCGCGGUAAUACGGAGGAUGCGAGCGUUAUCCGGAUUUAUUGGGUUUAAAGGGUGCGCAGGCGGAAUGUCAAGUCAGCGGUAAAAUUUCGGGGCUCAACCCCGUCGUGCCGUUGAAACUGGCGUUCUUGAGUGAGCGAGAAGUAUGCGGAAUGCGUGGUGUAGCGGUGAAAUGCAUAGAUAUCACGCAGAACUCCGAUUGCGAAGGCAGCAUACCGGCGCUCAACUGACGCUCAUGCACGAAAGCGUGGGUAUCGAACAGGAUUAGAUACCCUGGUAGUCCACGCAGUAAACGAUGAAUACUAACUGUCCGGGCAGAAUGAUGCCUGG
rnacentral:rRNA from 1 species